GAUCGCUGCUUGUGUCGCUUGAAUGCCCGCGUUGCCCAAUCCAACCAUGGAAGUGCUCGGCUUUGACAGUCGCCUCCGUCAGCUCGAUCAAGGCAAUGCUCUGUAUCAGCUGCUAUGCGGGUUUAUCGAUCAAGGCCAGGCUUUCUAGCAACUCGAUCCAGCAAAUCAAUCAGGUCAGCUCGAUCUUGGCUAUGUAUGCUAUGCGCUUUUUUCUUGGCUAUGCUUUGCUCUCUAUCAGUUCGAUCCAAUCCACU
rnacentral:lncRNA from 1 species